GCAUAGAAAAUAACAUUUUGCCUUGAGGUCCAAACAGUAAAUAUCUUCUACCACAUAGAGUCAGUUUACCACAAACAGUCCCCUUUACGUCCAACAGUAUGGAACCUGAAGCGUUGGAUUGUAUAGCACGGUUUAUAUAACCCAUAUCAAAAAGUCACAAUAUGGUAUGAUGUCUGCUCAUUGUUGAAAGAUAAUGUUGUAAGGAAUAGUAGAAACAUGAGUCCACAUUCUGCCAAACAGUUGGUGCUUGAAUUUCAACAUCAAACUAACACAUGCACACUUCACUAUGUUUUACUCAUAGGCAACAAUAUGGUAAACAGUUCCACACAUUAGUUUGUGUGUGCGUCAUUUAUAUUGAAAAAAUGCGGCACGCUGUUUGUUUUGUUUUUCACAAAGUGAAAAAGAGGAGCAGGAUUUGCUUUCAAAGAUCCGCAUUAAUCGUGAAAAUCGGUUGUUACAUAGGAUUCACCAGGAAAUCCAGCUGCUCGAAAGGGUACUCCUCCUAGGAUCCGACAGCAGUCUGCAAUCAGUCGAUUUUCCAUCCUAUCUGGUCUGUAUUCUUGCUGGGUGAAGUCUUCCGUGUUAGUUCUUCACCGGUAUCGGAAAUGCAUUUUGCGAGGAAUUGGACCUGUUUACAAGCCGGACGUGGGAGUCAAUUCAAAGUUCCACAGCUACAUUACCGUAGUAUAUGUCUUCCAGCAGCGAAUUACCGUAAAAGCUGUCCUUCCCGUGCAGCUGCUCCUAAUGGACUCGAGCAUUACUGUUUCACACAGUGAAAUCCGGAUGCAUAAGGACCUGAUCCAGAUCGACUCGACCCUGCCGGACGGGAAGCUCGAGAAGGAAACCCGCUUGAACAAUUUCAAUUUGUUCGUAUCGAUGUUUUACAUAUUUUGGCUGGCACCUACUUAGGGGUAAGAUGAGUAAAAUAAUUUUGGGAAUUCGAUUUUAUGGUGCUUGAAUAAACACAAUUCAAUUAUUUGAA